rnacentral:misc_RNA from 1 species
UCAAAUCCCAAGCCUUGCUUGGUAUUGGGUUUUCGUCUUCCUAGACUUUGUAUGGGUAUAGACGUACCUGAAAUUCAAUGGCGGCGCCUCAAUAGACUCAAGCGUAGCAGACUGACUCGCUUUAGAGAACUAUUGUAGGUCCUGUCAAUAAAAUAACAA